CCUGACAUCAAUGACACUGCCGCACCACAUGAUGCAGGGGCACACUCACAUCAUGUAGAUGGCAUGCUGUGGGCAAGCCUCACUUUUCCAGAUAAGACCUGACAUGCUUUCCAAAUUGGCAAGGAGAACUGAGUUGUGGGAUGGAUAAACACGUUGCCAAUUGCCACACAGGAAGCCCUCAAGAGAACUGGAGGAAGCUCAGAUUUGCUGAAUGUGAGAUCAAGUUCAAAGAGCUUCAUCUGAAUGGCUGAACUAACACAGUGUCUUAAAACCUCCAGCAGAUCACACACUACCUGAGCUCUCGGGAGCAUGAACUAUUCUGUAGGAAAACAUAAACCUCUUUUUAUGUGUGAAGUGAAACCUGUGAGGUGUAACAUCUCCUGCAGCCCUGGGGAAGUCCUGGCUGUGGAUACGGUCCUCUGCAUUCCUGGAGCAGGUCUAGAGCAUCACCCCUCCCUACAGCUGAGCAAUACAAGGGGGUCACCACCACCUCUGAGAUUUCCCUGACCGAAUUUGCAAAGCUGACUCUGAAAGUAAACAUGCACCACAGCUGCACCGCUGCCUUUUUGUCGUCUCAUAGUAUAAGCAACAGCAAAGCACGGGGCUCAGAAUACAGUGUAUUCAGAAUAUCCAACAUAGAGGUGAAUUAAAGAAGUCACAAAUCAAAGAAGCUUAGACUCACCUGAGGAAUAUUCACAGCUCCAAUUGCAAUGGGACUGGGCUUCUCAUGGCAGUGCUGACCUCCUUGAAAUACACCCAAGAAGGAAGAGUUAGGACCAGAAGAUGGCGGCUGUGACACUGGGGUCUGUCUUAUUUCCAUGCCAUCCACAAAGACCUUGACAGAGGGAAGAAGAAAGGUACUUCUACCUUGGGCAGCUCUGCCAAACGCACCCUGAAGACCCCACACCCUGCUCCCUCUAAUUGCGCUGUCGUUGUCUUGCAGCAUGAACUGUUCCAGCUAUCUGUUUUCUUUCAAAGUAUAUUUGUUUUAUAUCUGACAUGUUUAUAUAUGUUAACUGUUUGCUAUAGAUAUCUGUCAGCUUCAGUGGGUAAAACCAAAAAAAAAGAAAAAAAGAAAAGAAAAAAGGAAAGAAAAAGAAAAAAGAGAGAUUGGCUCUAUGCCAAAGAGUACAGCCCUCCUGAAAGGAAAAGAAAAAGGCAGAAGCAACAGUUUCUUCAUAUUUUGAGAGAAAUAUGUGCAACUUCCUGGGACCUUUUUCCUUUUGUUUUCAUUUCGAGCAAGAGUAUGCGUUGGAGCUGUGCAGUAUCCUCUUUCCUUUCAGAUACAGCUGCACUCUUCUGGAUGAAGGUGGAGAUAUGUGAAUCUGUUCCCAUGCCAAAGUCAUUUGCUAAAUUGUCUCUUAUGCUUUAAAAGGGCUCAAAUUGGAAUUACAUGGCACUUGCACCUUCUGCUGUUCCAUACCCAUGGUGCCUAAAUGCUGACAGCAACGGCAUUCAUUGCCUUCUUGACAUUUCUUACCGUGUGAGGUGAACAAACUCGCCAGGAUGAGACACAUUUCUCAUUUUGUAUUCAACCACUCCACCAUUCUCCCUGUCCAAAAGCCAUGUGGGAGUUGGAUCAUGGCUUGUUCUAUCCACUCUGCUCCACUCUUACUUUUGAACAGAUCUGAAGAUUGUUGGAAGAGGUGGUGGAUGCCCUAUCCUUGAGGACACUCAAGGUCAAGCUUGAUGGAGUUCUGAGCACCCGAUCAAGCUGUAGGUGUCUCUACUCAUUGUAAGAGAGUUGGAUUAGAUGGUCUUAUAGGGGCCCCUUCCAACUCUCUUUCUAUGAGAGCUAGGAUGCCCUUCAUCAUUUUCUGGAGCAAGCUGGUUUUCACAUCUUGUUUUACUGCAUGAGACUGCUCCUCACAGGACAGCAAGCAAGCAAGCCUGGGAAGACUCAAACCUCUUUCAUUUAUAAUCAGAACACAGCUGAGCCCAAGCUAACGACCCAAAAUGAAAUACAAAUUGAUACAGGUUGGGCACAGAACCAUAAAAAUGCAGCCUUGCAGCAUCUGACCCAUUAGCACUGAGCUUGAGCUCAAUUGGUGCUUGAGCUGAAAUUGGACCCGGUUGAAAGAAAUGAUGGAAGACCUAUGCCUGCAGUUAUAGUGUGAAGGAUCCAGAUGCCUGGGAUCUGUUUGUGCCUGUUAUUUGCAGCACAGUGAUUUAUUAGCAGAACUCUGGACACAGACCAUACUGGGCAACUCUUUCUUAGAUCUUGGGCUACAGAUAGCUGGGAAAGCAGACAGACUGUUUGCAAGGAAAUCAAAAGCACUUUGAGUCUUAACUGCUGCAUGAUUCAUCUCACAAACUGAAUUCAGUACAGCAAACUGUUGCCCUGCAGACAAAUUUCAUACAAAAUGACUGUAUAAAGCACCAAUGUUUAUAUGCUAGGCUGAUGUGGGUUGAAGGCUGUUUAAAAUGGCUGUGGAUAGUUAUGUAAUUAUUUGAGAACAGUAGGGCACAAUAAGUGAAUAUAAACAUUGAAGAAAACUGUACGAGUUCACUGCGUGCUUACAUGAG
ensembl:lncRNA